rnacentral:misc_RNA from 1 species
AAAUUACGAAGCAGUGAACUAACAGUGGAGGGAGGGAGAUCGCGGUUCCGGCUAAACCCUACGUUAUCGAUUCGCUGACAUUAGAACAUGGCGUGGAGUGCGACGAUGAUCGGAGCCCUUCUGGGCCUCGGCACCCAGAUGUACUCCAAUGCUCUCCGUAAACUCCCUUACAUGCGCCAUCCUUGGGAGCACUUGGUUGGAAUGGGACUGGGAGUAGUGUUCGUCAAUCAGCUGGUCAAAUGGGACGCUAAGCUCCAGGAGGACCUUGACAAGAUGCUCGAGAAGGCCAAAGCCGCCAACGAGCGCCGCUACUUUGAUGACGACGAUUGAUUGCAAAUCACCCUAUGCAUUGUGGCUUUUUUUUUAUGAAGUCAUCUGUG